CCCGCUCUCGUCCAGCGGUUUAGGACGUCUGACUUUCACCCAGGAGACCCGGGUUGGAUACCCGGCAUCGGAU
rnacentral:tRNA from 1 species